rnacentral:rRNA from 1 species
GGGGCUUUGGACAUGGGCGAAAGCCUGAUCCAGCCAUGCCGCGUGUGUGAAGAAGGUCUUCGGAUUGUAAAGCACUUUAAGUUGGGAGGAAGGGCAUUAACCUAAUACGUUAGUGUUUUGACGUUACCGACAGAAUAAGCACCGGCUAACUUCGUGCCAGCAGCCGCGGUAAUUACGAAGGGUGC